GUUAUAUAGUGAAGGCCACCAAGGUUUAUAAGGGAUAACACUGACUGUCUUGGCUCUUCCCUUGGGCAUUUUACAUGCUUCGGUGGACGUGUGACAAUGCUGUAGGAUCUCCUUACCCCUGAUGUUGAGGCACUGCCCAGAGCCUUGGCACGGAAAGGAGACUGAGUGAGGAACUGGGGCUCCAAGGACCACCAACCAGGAGCCCACAAGUAUCAGGACAUGGUACUCUGACCUUCUCUGUAAAAGUAGCCUGCAUGACUUUGGUUUGUAUACAUGGUACACCAAAUCUCACUGCCUCUAACAUUUCCCAUGAAAUAUGUAAGAAGUGAAAAGUUAUACUCCCCUACACACACACACACACACACACACACACACACACACACACACAUAUCCUGGUCAGUAAUCUUAUAAACCCACUUUCCUUUCUAAAGCUUAUUCCAGGUACGCCCCUUCCUGUACACGGCAGAUGAAAGAUUGCCAUAUUUCCUUUUCUUUCUUCUUUUCUUUGCUUUUGCUCACCCAAGGAAUGUAUUUCACCUUCACCUGAAACUUAACUGGUCCUAUAAUUCUCUUUGGCCAAUAAGAUGCAACAGACAUGCAUGGACAUUUCCAAGGUCGGACCUCUUCCUUUCUCACUUGCACAUCAUUGGAAUUCUCUUCCUGGAACUCAGCCACCAUGCUGUGUGGAGCCGAAUCCAUGUAGAGGCCAGGAGGAGGAGAUUCGAGGAGCUCUGGAUGACAGCCCAGCUGAGCUCUACCCUCUGGCCAGCACCAGCUGCCAGUCAUGUAAUUGAGCCAUCGUGAACACUACUACAGCCUCGUUGUGCCUUCAGAAGACUGCAGUCCCAGCCAACCCCACAUAGAGCAGAAGAACUGCCCAGCUGAGACCAAUUCUACAUUGAACUGUGAAAGACUACAAAUGGUCAUUAUUUGAAGCCAUUAAGUUGGGAGAGCAGUUUAUUAUAAGGUCAAAAAUAACUAAAGCAUUCCCUCAUUUCUAUUCAGCAUUUAGCCUGAGCCUAGACCCUUAAUAUCCCUAAUGUUUUGGAAAUAAAUGUCCAAAUACAUCACACAUAAUAAAGGGUCAGAGGAUAUUAAGUGCAUGUGUACACAAUUCACCUGUUUGCACACCAUAAGAACGUUGUUUUGGAAAAGUGAUUGACAAGUACACAUUCUUAGUGUACUAAGGAGCAUCCCAAUUCUUCCUUGGCCACCACUAAAUACCAGUUUAGAGGAACCACGGCAGGUGAUGUGAUUUCACGUGUCUCCAUAUGCUCCUGCUGCUUAUUUCUCUACGGUGUCUCAUGCCCUAUCAAGGCUCCACAAGGUAUAUGCAGCGGUUUUCCAGUUGUCAGAAAUGGAGAAGUUUGUUUUCUUUCCUAAAACUGCUCAGCUCUAUGACUUCAUCUUCAGGAUUUAAGAGCAAAAGACCCUGAUAGGGGAGGCUGCCAAAAUCCGCAGAGAACAUUAGUGCAUUUUACAGACUGUUUAAUAUGUACAGCAUUCCAAUGACAAUCAUGGAUUAGCUAGCCUCUUUCAUUCAAUGCAAUUUUUUUUUUGUCUUACAUUUUAAUGUCUCAGGUUUUCCCUGUCUAUGUUAAACUGCAGCCAUUUUUUUCUUCAUGUUUUCCCCAUCACUGAAAGACUCAAGAUCCUUCCUAGGAAAUCUUUUGAUAAGAACUGUUUAAACAAAAUAUCUUACAUGCUUAUAAUUUACCAAGUUCUUUAAAUAAAUCAUCUCCUUUGCAUCAGUCUGUUCAUGAA